GAACAGAGUUUACUGACCAGCUUGAGAAUGAGUUCCGGGAGGGAACAACUGUUGCUGCUGAUCUGAGGAAGGAGGAGUCACACUCGAGACAGAUGUCUUGCGGAGGGCAGCCCCAACAACGCUACUUGGUGAGGUUCAGAGGAGUCGUCACACUCGAGACAGAUGUCUUGCAGGGGGCAGCCCCGACAACGCCGCUACUUGGUGAGGUUCAGAGGAGGAGUCACACUCGAGACAGAGGUCUUGCGGAGGGCAGCCCCAACAACGCUGCUUGGUGAGGUUCAGAGGAGGAGUCACACUCGUGACAGAUGACUUGCAGGGGGCAGCCCCGACAACACCGCUGCUUGGUGAGGUUCAGAGGAGGAGUCACACUCGUGACAGAUGACUUCCAGAGGGCAGCCCCGACAACGCCGCUGCUUGGUGAGGUUCAGAGGAGGAGUCACAAUCGAGACAGAGGUCUUGCAGAGGGCAGCCCCGACAACGCUACUUGGUGAGGUUCAGAGGAGGAGUCACACUCGAGUCACACCAGUGACAGAUGUCUUGCAGGGGGCAGCCCCGAUGAUGCCGCUGCUUGGUGAGGCUCAGAGGUUAAAGCCAUGAACUCUGGCACACCACAGCC